rnacentral:lncRNA from 1 species
CGAAGGUGGAGAGGAAGCGGGAGAUGAGUCCCAGGGAGUACGGAGUCAGCUCUGAGCCGAGGUCACCGCAGAAGGGAGCUCGGUCUUCGGCCAGGACCGGAGCAGUUGGAACAAAGGGAAUGUGGAAAUGAAAGAGAGAGGGAGAGAGAGGCUGGCAGAUGUAAUGAGACGCGGUGAAGGUGUACGCAGACUGGCACUCCCACUCCUCCCUUCUGCUCUCACUGCAGCCCUGGGUAACUCGCAGGCUAACACAAACAGCUUUUCUCCCGCAGCCUGCCCUCUGUCACUGAUACUUCUGAUAUUGGAUGUUGCACAUUAAGA